GAAGGUCCGGCGUCCCAGCCGCCUACCUCGCUGGGACCCUGGUCUUGCUGUCCCCCGCUGGCCUCCUGCCCAAGCGACUGCGGCCAGGAUGGGCCGGAAGGUGACCGUGGCCACCUGCGCACUCAACCAGUGGGCCCUGGACUUCGAGGGCAAUUUGCAAAGAAUUUUAAAGAGUAUUGAAAUUGCCAAAAACAGAGGAGCAAGAUACAGGCUUGGACCAGAGCUGGAAAUAUGGUGAGAACAGACACAGACACCCUGGGGUCGUCAGCUAGCGAUACCAGCAUCAGUUUUCCCCAGCUGAGAAGGCAAGGAAGGAGCAGGGACAGUCCUGAGAGCUGUGGACACGCCACACCCACUGUUGGGCCUGGUUAAUGCCAUUGAACACCUGAGCAAGGGCAGGCCCAGGGAGGCUGAAUAAGUCUAGAUUCCCAUGUUGAGUAAUUAAAAGAACUGACUUUUACCAGAUGAAGGCCAGUUUCAAAGUUGGGCUGCUUCUGUGUUACCACUGCCCUUUUGCUGUGGUC
rnacentral:lncRNA from 1 species